GAUGAACGCUGGCGGCGUACCUAAUACAUGCAAGUAGAACGCUGAAGGAGGAGCUUGCUCUUCUGGAUGAGUUGCGAACGGGUGAGUAACGCGUAGGUAACCUGCCUGGUAGCGGGGGAUAACUAUUGGAAACGAUAGCUAAUACCGCAUGACAACGGUUAUUGCAUGAUAACUGUUUAAAAGGGGCAACUGCUCCACUACCAGAUGGACCUGCGUUGUAUUAGCUAGUUGGUGAGGUAACGGCUCACCAAGGCGACGAUACAUAGCCGACCUGAGAGGGUGAUCGGCCACACUGGGACUGAGACACGGCCCAGACUCCUACGGGAGGCAGCAGUAGGGAAUCUUCGGCAAUGGACGGAAGUCUGACCGAGCAACGCCGCGUGAGUGAAGAAGGUUUUCGGAUCGUAAAGCUCUGUUGUAAGAGAAGAACGAGUGUGAGAGUGGAAAGUUCACACUGUGACGGUAUCUUACCAGAAAGGGACGGCUAACUACGUG
rnacentral:rRNA from 1 species